rnacentral:rRNA from 1 species
CGGAUUGGAGUCUGCAACCCGACUCCAUGAAGCUGGAUUCGCUAGUAAUCGCGCAUCAGCCACGGCGCGGUGAAUACGUUCCCGGGCCUUGUACACACCGCCCGUCAAGCCAUGGAAGCCGGGAGUGCCUGAAGUGCGUGAGCGCAAGCAGCGCCCUAAGGUAAAACCGGUGACUGGGGCUAAGUCGUAACAAGGUAAC